rnacentral:rRNA from 1 species
GACGAACGCUGGCGGCGCGCUUAACACAUGCAAGUCGAACGGAAAGGCCUGCUUUCCCUUGUGGAUUGCGGGUACUCGAGUGGCGAACGGGUGAGUAACACGUGAGUGAUCUGCCCCCAACUUGGGUAUAAGCCUGGGAAACUGGGUCUAAUUCCCGAUAGGACUGCAGGGUGGUGCCUGUGGUGGAAACCGAUUUUCUAGUGGUUGGGGAUGAGCUCGCGGCCUAUCAGCUUGUUGGUGGGGUAAUGGCCUACCAAGGCGGGGACGGGGAGCCGGGCAGGGGGGGUCGGCGUGCAAGGGUGGACGGAGAUACGGGCCCUGCGACUAGGGGAAGAAGCAGUCGGGAGGAAGGAACGAGGGGCGGAGGCCUAUGGGAGCGAGCCCGAGGGAGGGAUGACGGCCUUCGGGUUGUGGACUCCUUGCGGCCGCGAGGAAGCCACCUGGUUGGAGGGGUGGUGACGGUAGUGGUAGAAGAAGCACCGGCUAACUACGUG